CUGGAAUCCAAGGGUGUCUGGUCAAGGAGGUCAGAAGGUAAGGUUAGAUAAGGGAGUAUUUAUCAACUUGGGAGAACUCUCCCAGGAUACAGGAUUUAAUACUCUCACCAGUGUCCCAGGAGAUGGUGCAAACUCACUGCAGAUGAUUCCUAGAAACAUGGGAAAAAGCAGCGGCCAGCAUGAAGUGAGAACUGCUGGAGCAGACGGUAGGCCCUUGGCACUUAGGCUCAGAGAGGUGGGCCCACCAGAGGAGGUGUGCCAUGUAAGGCUGGAACUCCCAGAGGCCUGUGCUGCACACAGGACCCAGAUGAUAACCCACUUACCAAGGCUGUUAGGAAUGGAUCACUUAGAAAUUCAGUGAUGGCUCCUCUCUGGGGACCAGGGCUGGCAGGAGGAAUUGCCACUGUACAACCAGGCUUACUCACAGAAAUGAUCCCAAGGACCUUGGAAAACUAGAAGCCAUCUACCUUAGUGCUGCUGUAACAAAAUGCCAUAGGCUGGGUGGCUUAUAAAGAAAUUCAUUUCUAACAGUUCUGGAGGCCGGGAAGUCCAAGAUCAAAGUAGAUUUGGUGUCUGCUGAAGGCCCACUUUCUGGCUCAUAGAUGGUGCCUUCUCACUGUGUCCUCAGAGUGUAGAACAGGCAGGGCAGCAUGCUGGGACAUCUUUUCAUUAGGGCACUAGUCCCAUUCAUGAGGCUCCACCUUCAUGACCCAAUCGCCUUCCAAAGGCCCCACCUCCUGAUACCCUCACAUUGGUGGUCAGGUUUCAACGUAUGAAUUUUGGGGAGACACCAACAUUCAGACCAUGGCACCAUCAGAAGGCAGGAAGAUGUCAUUGUGGUGAGUGGUAGGGUAGAGAGGAGGCCAGGGGAGCCUGACCUACAGAGACCUGUGGAGUGAAUAGAACUUGGCACCCCUAGGGGCCACAUAGAUAUGGAGCCAACAAGGAUACUACUGUAUCUGCAUAAUCAAAAACAGCACGGAUGGAUGGCUGGGAAGCUAAGGACAGUCACCUUAAUUUAAAAAAAAGUAAAAAUCCCUUCCCCAAUGUCCAUCCCUGAGCAAGUUCUUGGACGUGGAAACUUGAUUGACAGAAAGCCUAUGUCCCCAGGAGGAAGAACCCCAUGACUGCACACAGCGAGGAUUCCUCCAUUUCUUCCCAACGUUACUCAGCAGCCAGACCUACAAAGCCUGAGAUGACCGGGGACACCCCCGCACCCCAUCGUACCUCACGCCCCCCACCUCCCCUGCAGCUUGGGUGUCCUGCUUUUCCCGGAGCCCAGAGAGAGUUCCUCCACUUCAGGAAUGCGUCCUGCCAUCCCCUCUGCUCCUGGUAUCCCUGUGGGCCACUCCCCUGGCCCCUGCAGAUCUCUGCCCAGAUGGCAUCUCUCGCCGAGGCCUGUCCUGACCAGCCGGUACAAAACAGCAGCCCUGUCACCGCCCCUUCACCGCUCGGUGGCUUCUAUGACCUUCCACCAGAAAGCCGUCUCCUUGAAGGCAGAGUUUCAUCUCUGCUGUCCACAGCUGUGUCCCCACACUGACGACAGUGCCUGGCAUGUAGUAGUUAGUCAAUAAAUAUUUUUCAAAUAAAUGAUGUCCCUACUGCCCCACCCCAGGCCACCGGCAAACUCCUUAAACCACAAGGACAGCUUUGUGGCCUCUCCUCUGCAAAGCUCUCCCUGACCACACGCGUGUCCUCCAGGCAGGAAGAGCCUCCUCACUAGCCGAAGAGUCCCUCCGAGGUAGCGAUGGUGUCCCAUCCACCUUUC
rnacentral:lncRNA from 10 species